rnacentral:pre_miRNA from 1 species
GCCCUUUUUCUGUUGUACUACUGGCAGUUAUGAUGAGCAGUGCAAUAUUAAAAGGGCAU